AACGGAGCAUAAUGCAAGCAUUGAGUCUGUGAGGUGUUAAAGCCAGAACGGUUGUUAAAACCACAAGUCACUCAACUCGUGUAACUGGAGCAUGAUUUUUUUUGGUCCCCUGCUUCCAUCCACUUAAAUGUUUAGCGUCGGUAAGAAAGACUGAACACAUUGGAGUUGUUUCAUUGCAGGUCCACCCAGUACUCAUGGUGAUCGGCUUCAUACUUUUAAAUGGUGAAGGUAAACAUGUUCUCCUUUUCUUUUUCUCAUACCAUAACACAUAAUGAAGAAUAUAUAUAACAACUGGAAGUGCCACUAUGUUAGAGCAGUAAAAGCCUAUUGUGAUUGAGAAAGAGUUGUGGGAUUCAAAUUCUCCUUAUGCCCAAAGGAUUCAGAGAAAGGGGGGAAAAAGAAAACAUACAGCUCUCUCUUAUCUCUUACUUUAGCUUUAUAAAUUCCUCAGGAGUCUCGAGUAAAUUUAUAUUCUAUUCUUUUGGUUGUCUGCAAUUGGGUGAUGCAGACUUGAAUAGUGACUUGCAAGGGCAUUACGGCCACCUUUUAUAAUGUUAUCAAAUUCAUUGCUUGGAACAAUUCUUUAAUAAAGAGAGUGCUUGAAUUUGGCAUGCAUAUGGUGGCCUUGUUUUAGUCAUGUAGAUCCUGUUGUCAAUCUUCACUGAUAUGUAUUAAAUUGACAAGGAUGCACCAAAAAUGUUCAUGAUGUUUGACGAGCAUGAAGUUCAUGGUGGUGGAGAGGUUAGAGAAGGUACUCCCGUAGGGAGCAGCAGUACGAUACGACGUUCUAAGGCAAACGACGCUGAUAACAGGGAUGCUGACAACGACGAUGAUGAGGAAUGAGUGAUACUUGAUCUUAUAUGUAGUUUUCAAUUGUGUGAAGACAUAUUAUGACUUGAAUUUUACCUAUAUGUAAUAUAUUUGUGAUUUUAUUGCGUAGUGAAUGAAUAUUAUUUGAGCAUGCGAGAUGUAUUGUGAUUGUGAUUA